UACGGAGGAUCCAAGCGUUAUCCGGAUUCAUUGGGUUUAAAGGGUGCGUAGGCGGAAUGAUAAGUCAGUGGUGAAAAUCCUGCAGCUUAACUGCAGAACUGCCAUUUGAUACUGUCAAUCUUGAGUAUAUUUGAUGUGGGCGGAAUGUGUCAUGUAGCGGUGAAAAUGCUUUAGAUAUGACACAGAAACACCGAUUUGCGAAGGCAGCUCACAAAAAACUAUAAACUGACGCUGAGGCACGAAAAGCGUGGGUAGU
rnacentral:rRNA from 1 species